CGAACGGGUGAGUAACACGUGGGCAACCUGCCCCCGGCUCUGGGAUAACUCCAAGAAAUUGGGGCUGGUGGCGGAUGUUCACCGCAUCCCGCAUGGGAGGUGGUGGAAAGGAUUUCCGGCUGGGGAUGGGCCCGCGGCCUAUCAGCUUGUUGGUGGGGUAGUGGCCUACCAAGGCGACGACGGGUAGCCGGCCUGAGAGGGUGACCGGNCACACUGGGACGGGAGACACGGCCCAGACUCCUACGGGAGGCAGCAGUGGGGAAUAUUGCGCAAUGGGCGGAAGCCUGACGCAGCGACGCCGCGUGGGGGAUGACGGCUUCGGGUUGUAAACCUCUUUCAGCAGGGACGAAGCGCAAGUGACGGUACCUGCAGAAGAAGCACCGGCCAACUACGUGCCAGCCGCCGCGG
rnacentral:rRNA from 1 species